CCGGCUAACUCCGUGCCAGCAGCCGCGGUAAUACGGAGGGUGCAAGCGUUAAUCGGAAUUACUGGGCGUAAAGCGCACGCAGGCGGUCUGUCAAGUCGGAUGUGAAAUCCCCGGGCUUAACCUGGGAACUGCAUUCGAAACUGGCAGGCUAGAGUCUUGUAGAGGGGGGUAGAAUUCCAGGUGUAGCGGUGAAAUGCGUAGAGAUCUGGAGGAAUACCGGUGGCGAAGGCGGCCCCCUGGACAAAGACUGACGCUCAGGUGCGAAAGCGUGGGGAGCAAACAGGAUUAGAUACC
rnacentral:rRNA from 1 species